UACGGUAAAUACGUUCCCGGACCUUGCACACACCGCCCGUCAAGCCAUGGAAGCUGGGUGUACCUAAAGUCGGUAACCGUAAGGAGCCGCCUAGGGUAAAACUAGUGACUGGGGCU
rnacentral:rRNA from 1 species